rnacentral:lncRNA from 10 species
CGUCACUCUCUGUGUGAGUCAUUUAUUUAAUUUUUAAACAAGCAUAAGGUGUCUUUGUGUUCACUCAAUGUAUCAGGCAUUGUUUUGAACACCUAAUCAAAGAAAGCAGAGAUGUGAUGUCUGCCCCCAUAGGAGGUUAUUGACCAGUUGCACUGACAGCUGAAAUAUCCACAAGCCUGAGACACGUCCUGGGCCACGGUCGUGGUAGGAACAGCAUGCUGUGGAAACAGGCGGGUGACACACCACGUCAAUCUGGACCUUUCUAAGGCUUCCUGGGGGAGGUGACACUCCGGAUGGGAUACAGAAGAUCAAACAGAGACUAUUUAAGAGUGUGAGAACAGAGACCAGAGUCAAAGAAAAGCACCUGAGAUGCGUCAGGGCCCACCGCCGGCGCUGAGGAUGGAACAGUGAACACAGCAAGCCACGUCCUUCCUCCUAGGGCCCAUAUUCUGAUGGAAGGAGUCAGACGAAAGGCAGAGAAAUGCAAUAGAAAAUCGAAUACUGCAUGUGAUGAUUGAUAAGUGAAAUCUAAACAUUGGGUACUCGUGGACACGAAGAGGGGAACAACAGACGCUGUGGACAACUAGAGCUACGGGUGGAAAAGUCUCAAGCCACCAGCUCAGCAGCUGCAUCUUCAAGGAGGCAUCUGGCAGGGAGGCUGCAGCUGGAGCACUGAUUGGCGACAUUCAUCACAGCUCACUGUCGUGCUCUGGGAUCUGGCUGGUCUUUAAAGGAUACAUCUGCUGAGACCUGCUGGCCACUUCCAUGUCUUUGUUUUCAUCCCCUUUUGCUGCUAUAACAAAACACUUCAGACUGGGUAAUUUGUGAAGAACAGAAAUUGAUUGUUGGCAGCUAGGAAGGCUGGGAAGUCCAAGAGCAAGGCACCUGCAGGUUCAGAGUAAGGUGAGGGCUGCUGUCUGCUUCUAGACGGUGCCUUGUUGCUGCAUCCUCCAGGGGGAAGGAACCCUGUGUCCUCACAUGGCAGAAGGCGGAGGAACUUAAUCAUUCCCCAGAAGGACAACCUUUCCCCAACACCAGCGUGCGGAUUAAGUUUUAACUUGAAUUUUCAAGGGCACACCCAUGGAAACCCCAACAUUCUUCUUUUGAGAAAUGUCUAUUCUGGUUCUCUGCUCAUUUUCUAAUUUGGUAUUUGAUUUCUGUCUAUUCAGCUGUCUGAGCUCCUUAAAUAGUUUGGAUAUUAACUCAUUAAAACACAUUGCUAAAUUGUACAAGGUUUGAACUAUAAAGGGUAUAUCAUACUGUAUACUAUCUGUUAAAAUUUGCUUUUAUAUUCAGCAUUGUGCUAAUAAGGGUUAUACAAAUUUUUGCCUGGAGCUGUGAGUUAUUCAUCUUAAAUGCUCUAUCAUAUUUCAUGAUUUGAUUAUAUUAUGUUUUAUUUAUCCAUUAUUCUGUCAAUGGAAGGUUUUCAACUUUUUUUUUUUUUUUUUGAGAUGGAGUUUCGCUCUUGUUGCCCAGGCUGGAGUGCAGUGGCGCGAUCUCAGCUCACCGCAACCUCCGCCUCCCGGCUUCAAGUGAUUCUCCAGCCUCAGCCUCCCGAGCAGCUAGGAUUACAGGCAUGCACUACCACGCCUGGCUAAUUUUGUAUUUUUAGUAGAGAUGGGGUUUCUCCAUGUUGGUCAUGCUGGUCUCAAACUCCCAACCUCAGGUGAUCCGCCUGCCUCAGCUUCCCAAAGUGCUGGGAUUACACACGUGAGCCACCACGCCUGGCUGUUUUUCAACUUUUUGAACGGUAAAGAGACCACUCUAAAUGUUCGCCUGGAUGUUUGUCCUGGAUAUAAAUCAAGGAAUGGGGUAAACUGGCUACAUAAUCUACACAUCAUUAACUUCACAAGAUAAUGUCACAUUUUAUCACAAAAUGCUUUCACAAAGUUUACUAUCACUGAGAUUGUGCCUGAGACAUGAUAAACUAAAAUAUUUAGUACAGCUGAGUAUUAUCAUAUUUGUUACUUUUGCCAACAUAACAGGUGUAAAUGUAUAUUUUUAUCUCUCUGUGUAAAUGAUUGUAAACAUCUCUUUUUAUGCCUAUUAGCCAUAUAUAUUUCUUUGUGAAAUAUCUAUUCAUGUUUUUGACCAUUGUUUUCUUUGGUUUUUAUUUUUCUUAUCAAAUUUCAGAAUUUUUCUGUAUUGUUUACACCAGGCCUUUGGGAGUUAUGCAUGUGGCAAAUGGCUUCUUGCCUUCUUGUCUUGUUUUCUGGUGUGUGGGGUGCUUUUAAUAUUCUUAAUGGGUACUUUUAUGAAUAGAAAAUCUUAAUUAGAAUUGAUUCAUAUUGAUUGAUCUUUAUUAUUUACACAUUUGUACUGAAAUAAAUAUUUUAAUAUCAGAACUUAGAACUUUAAAAAGUUAGUAAAAUGUACAUAUAUAUGCAUACAUAUAUGUUACUUUUUUCUCUAUAAAAUUUUUGGUUUUGCCUUCAACAUUUAAAUUACUUUUCUGGUUUAAAUGUAAAUAUAUGAUGUAGGGUGAGAACCACAUUUUCACUUUUUUAACAUGAAUAAUUAUUUUUUCACCUCUAUUUUUCAACAGCUUCUCUUCUUCAGCAACCUAUCAUGUCGUCACUGUUAUAUAUUAAGGUUUCAGAUAUAUUUCUGUGCUUUCUAUGUUAUAAUUUUUGUGCAUUCAUAUGUCCCCAAUACAAUCUCUCUUAAACAAUAAUAAUUUCAAAGUAAUUUAUUUUACUUCUCUUCUUUGGAGGAAUAUUUCUAUUCUUGACUUUUUAACUUUCAAUAUAAAUUUAAAAAUUGAUUUGUGAAAUUUCACACAACGUAUGUACACAGAUCAUGAUACAUAUGC